rnacentral:rRNA from 1 species
AUGAAGCCGGAAUUGCUAGUAAUGGCAGGUCAGCAUACUGCCGUGAAUACGUUCCCGGGCCUUGUACACACCGCCCGUCACACCAUGAGAGUUGGAAAUACCCGAAGCCUGUGAGCUAACUGUAAGGAGGCAGCAGUCGAAGGUAGAGCCAAUGAUUGGGGUGAAGUCGUAACAAGGUACC